rnacentral:rRNA from 1 species
UACAGAGGCCUCAAGCGUUGUUCGGAUUCAUUGGGCGUAAAGGGUGCGUAGGUGGCGUCGUAAGUCAGGGGUGAAAUUUCGGAGCUUAACUCCGAAACUGCAUUUGAUACUGCGGUGCUUGAGGACUGGAGAGGAGACUGGAAUUUACGGUGUAGCAGUGAAAUGCGUAGAGAUCGUCAGGAAGACCAGUGGCGAAGGCGGGUCUCUGGACAGUUCCUGACGCUGAGGCACGAAGGCCAGGGGAGCAAACGGG